UUGAUAUCUGGGGCCAAGGAACCAUGGUCACCGUCUCCUCAGAGUCCAGCUCAGCUCCACUCCUCUUCCCUCUUGUCUCCUGUGAUUCGUCACUGCCGGAUGAGACACAAGUGACCCUGGGCUGUCUGGCCCGUAACUUUUUGCCCCUGCCCAUCACCUUCUCCUGGAAAUUCAAGAACAGCUCCAGCAUCAGCAGCCAGAACAUCUACAGUUUCCCUGAGGUCCUCACCGGUGGCAAGUACAUGGCCACAUCCCAGGUGCUGCUGCCAUCCAUGGCCGUCCUGCAGAGCACCGAUGAUUACAUAACGUGCCAUACCAAGCACGUCACAGGGGACAAAGAAAAGAACGUGCAUCUACAAGUCAUCCCAGAGCUGCCCCCGAAUGUGAGCGUCUUCAUCCCACCCCGAAACUCCUUCUCCGGCAACCACCCACGCACGUCCCAGCUUAUCUGUCAGGCCUCCGGCUUCAGUCCCCGCACCAUCGUCAUGUCCUGGUUGCAGAGGGGUGAACCGGUGCAGCCCAGCUUAGUGUCGACCAGUGCUGUGGAGGCUGAGCCCAAGGGCUCGGGGCCCACUACCUUCAGGGUCAUCAGCAGACUGACCAUCACCGAGAAUGAAUGGCUCAGCCAGAAAGAGUUCACCUGCCAAGCACUCCACAAGGGCCUCACCUACCAGAAGAAUGUGUCAUCUGUGUGCAUGGGCGAUGACACUUCCACCGGAAUCAGUGUGUUCCUGCUGCCCCCCUCCUUUGCCAACAUCUUCCUCACCCAGUCGGCCCAGCUGACCUGCCUGGUCACGGGGCUGGCCACCUACAACAGCCUGGAUAUCUCAUGGAGCCGCCAGAAUGGGGAAGCCCUGGAGACACACGUCAACAUCUCCGAGAGUCACCCCAACUCCACCUUCACCGCCAAGGGCCACGCCAGCGUGUGCCGCGAGGACUGGGAGUCAGGGGAGAAGUUCACGUGCACUGUGCAGCACUCCGACCUGCCCUCACCACUGAAACAGAGCCUCUCCAGGCCCAAGAAUGUGGCGAAGCACCCGCCUUCCGUGUUCAUGCUGCCACCUGCCCAGGAGCAGCUGAAGUUGCGUGAGUCUGCCUCUAUCACCUGCCUGGUGAAGGACUUUUCGCCACCCGAUGUUUUCGUCCAGUGGCAGCAUCACGGGCAACCUGUGGACCCCAAGCAUUAUGUGACCAGCAACCCUACACCUGAGCCCCAGAGCCCUGGCCUCUACUUCGUCCACAGCAUCCUGACGGUGAGCGAGAAGGACUGGAGCUCUGGAGAGUCCUUCUCCUGCGUCGUGGUCCACGAGGCCCUGCCCCUGUCAGUGACCGAGAAGGCUGUGGACAAGACGUCUGGUAAACCCACCCUGUACAACGUGUCUCUCGUCCUGUCUGACACCGCCAGCACCUGCUACUGA